GGAGUCACGCCAGAAAUCUUACCCGGAGAGACAGCAGAAUGAAGGUCAAGCUGAAGACUUUACCAGACAAGCUGAGAGGUGGUGCAUGGCCGUCGCCAGCUCGUGCCGUGAGAUGUCCUGUUAAGUCAGGUAACGAGCGAGAUCCCUGCCUCUAGUUGCCACCAUUACUCUCAGGAGUAGUGGGGCGAAUUAGCGGGACCGCCGCAGUUAAUGCGGAGGAAGGAAGGGGCCACGGCAGGUCAGUAUGCCCCGAAACUCUGGGGCCACACGCGGGCUGCAAUGGUAGCGACAAUUGGUUUCGAAUCCGAAAGGAUGAGGUAAUCCACAAACGCUACCACAGUUAUGACUGAGGGCUGCAACUCGCCCUCACGAAUAUGGAAUCCCUAGUAACUGCGUGUCAUUAUCGCGCGGUGAAUACGUCCCUGCUCCUUGCACACACCGCCCGUCGUUUCAUUGAAGUGAGCUUUUAGCGAGGUGACGUCUGGUUGGCGUUAUCGAACUUGAGGUUCGUGACAAGGGAAAAGCCGUAACAAGGUGACCGUAGGGGAACCUGCGGUCGGAUCA
rnacentral:rRNA from 1 species